UUUGAUCCUGGCUCAGAUUGAACGCUGGCGGCAGGCCUAACACAUGCAAGUCGAGCGGUAACAUUUCUAGCUUGCUAGAAGAUGACGAGCGGCGGACGGGUGAGUAAUGCUUGGGAAUAUGCCUUAGGGUGGGGGACAACAGUUGGAAACGACUGCUAAUACCGCAUAACGUCUACGGACCAAAGGGGGCUUCGGCUCUCGCCCUUAGAUUAGCCCAAGUGGGAUUAGCUAGUUGGUGAGGUAAUGGCUCACCAAGGCGACGAUCCCUAGCUGGUUUGAGAGGAUGAUCAGCCACACUGGAACUGAGACACGGUCCAGACUCCUACGGGAGGCAGCAGUGGGGAAUAUUGCACAAUGGGCGCAAGCCUGAUGCAGCCAUGCCGCGUGUGUGAAGAAGGCCUUAGGGUUGUAAAGCACUUUCAGUAAGGAGGAAAGGUUAGUAGUUAAUACC
rnacentral:rRNA from 5 species